rnacentral:tRNA from 1 species
GAGAGAGUGGUGUAGUGGUUUGAGUGUUGGACUGUGACUCUGGAGACCAGGGUUCAAAUCCCCGCUCAGCCA